rnacentral:lncRNA from 1 species
GAUAACCUAUAAAUAGGUAUAGGUAUAAAGAAAAGGAGUAAUUUUAAUGAUUGUUGUGUACAGUAAUUUUAUGAUGGCCACACGUGUGUCUCGACGUGGGAACACAAGUUGAACUCAGCACUUCAUAUGCUUUUAUUGACACAGUAACAUUCACAUUCAUUUCAAUUUUGUCAGGUUGCACGUGUUUUCAAACAGGUCCCCC